rnacentral:rRNA from 1 species
GACGAACGCUGGCGGCGUGCUUAACACAUGCAAGUCGAACGAAGUGGCGAACGGGUGAGUAACGCGUAAUCAACCUGCCCUUCAGAGGGGGACAACAGUUGGAAACGACUGCUAAUACCGAAUACUGAAGGAGGGGAUUGCGUCGGAUUAGCUAGUUGGGGGGGUAACGGCCCACCAAGGCGAUGAUCAGUAGCCGGUCUGAGGGGGUGAACGGCCACAUCGGGACUGGGACAAGGGCCAGACUCCUACGGGGGGCAGCAGGUGGGGAUCUUCCGCAAUGGACGAAAGUCUGACGGAGCAACGCCGCGGGAGUGAUGACGGCCUUCGGGGUGUAAAGCUCUGUUAAUCGGGACGCGGUACCGGAAUAGAAAGCCACGGCUAACUACGUGCCAGCAGCCGCGGUAAUAC